UACGUAGGGUCCGAGCGUUGUCCGGAAUUACUGGGCGUAAAGCGCGCGCAGGCGGCCCGCGAGGUGUCACGUGAAAGCCCCGGGCUCAACCCGGGAGGGUCGUGGCAAACCGGCGGGCUUGAGGCCGGUAGAGGUGGGUGGAACUCCUGGUGGAGUGGUGAAAUGCGUAGAGAUCAGGAAGAACACCGGUGGCGAAGGCGGUCUGCUGGGGUCGAACUGACGCUGAGGCGCGACAGCGUGGGGAGCAAACAGG
rnacentral:rRNA from 1 species